GAUGAACGCUGACAGAAUGCUUAACACAUGCAAGUCUUUGGCGAAGCUGUGCUUGCACAGCCUAGCCAAGGCGGACGGGUGAGUAACGCGUAAGGAACUUGCCCUGCAGUCAGAGAUAACAGACGGAAACGACUGAUAAGACCUGGUAAAGUCAGGCGGACUCAUGUCCAGCCUGAUGAAAAGAGAUGCUGCAGGAGAGCCUUGCGUCCUAUUAGCUUGUUGGUGGGGUAACGGCCCACCAAGGCGAUGAUAGGUAGCCGGCCUGAGAGGGUGGACGGCCACAAGGGGACUGAGAUACGGCCCUUACUCCUACGGGAGGCAGCAGUGGGGAAUAUUGGACAAUGGUGGCAACCCUGAUCCAGCAAUUCUGUGUGCACGAUGAAGGUUUUCGGAUUGUAAAGUGCUUUCAGCAGGGAAGAAAAAAAUGACGGUACCUGCAGAAGAAGCGACGGCUAAAUACGUG
rnacentral:rRNA from 1 species